UACGAAGGGGGCUAGCGUUGCUCGGAAUCACUGGGCGUAAAGCGCACGUAGGCGGCUUACUAAGUCAGGGGUGAAAUCCUGGAGCUCAACUCCAGAACUGCCUUUGAUACUGGUGAGCUUGAGUCCGGAAGAGGUGAGUGGAACUGCGAGUGUAGAGGUGAAAUUCGUAGAUAUUCGCAAGAACACCGGUGGCGAAGGCGGGUCUGCGGCGACUGACGCUGAGGAGCGAAAGCGUGGGGAGCGAACAGG
rnacentral:rRNA from 1 species